GCCAGAUCAAGCCGGGGUCCUGCGCUUCAAGAUGAGGUUACAUGUUAUGAUUGGCUGGACUUUCCGUGCGUGCUGCGUUGAAGUCGAAACAGAGCUGAUUCAUCUCGGGACUGCCUUAAACGCGGAAGUGCGACACUACAUGGCUCAAAUAAAUAAGCAUCACUUAGCAAAGCUGUGCCGAGAAAACACUCCAGGAAGGGCCGAUAAGUGUCAGUGUCUGCCUCACACAAACAGGGAGAUUGUAGAAUAUGUCCCGAUUAUAGCACGGCUCGUUCUUAUUGUUGACUUUUCUGCAGUUGAAAGGAGGAUGUGAGUUACAACAAUAAAGUCGGUCUCUUA